UACGUAGGGGGCAAGCGUUGUCCGGAUUUAUUGGGCGUAAAGAGCGUGUAGGCGGCUAGAUAGGUCCGUUGUGAAAACUGGAGGCUUAACCUCCAGACGUCGAUGGAAACCGUAUGGCUAGAGUCCGGAAGAGGAGAGUGGAAUUCCUGGUGUAGCGGUGAAAUGCGCAGAUAUCAGGAAGAACACCCGUGGCGAAGGCGGCUCUCUGGGACGGUACUGACGCUGAGACGCGAAAGCGUGGGGAGCGAACAGG
rnacentral:rRNA from 1 species